rnacentral:rRNA from 1 species
UACGAAGGGGGCUAGCGUUGCUCGGAAUCACUGGGCGUAAAGCGCACGUAGGCGGCUUUUUAAGUCAGGGGUGAAAUCCUGGAGCUCAACUCCAGAACUGCCUUUGAUACUGAGAAGCUUGAGUCCGGGAGAGGUGAGUGGAACUGCGAGUGUAGAGGUGAAAUUCGUAGAUAUUCGCAAGAACACCAGUGGCGAAGGCGGCUCUCUGGACCUCUGCUGACGCUGAGGCGCGAAAGCGUGGGGAGCGAUCCGG